rnacentral:rRNA from 1 species
UACUAGAGUAGCACUCGCAUAUCAAUAAGCGGAGGAAAAGAAACUAACUAGGAUUCCCUCAGUAACGGCGAGUGAAGCGGGAAGAGCUCAAAUUUGAAAUCUUCAAGGUUUUACCUUGACGAAUUGUAGUUUAAAGAAGUGUUUUCUGUUGGAUGUUUUGGUAAAAGUUCUUUGGAAUAGGACAUCAUAGAGGGUGAGAAUCCCGUAUUUGACCAUUACUUUCCAACUUUGUGAUACACUUUCAAAGAGUCGGAUUGUUUGGGAAUGCAGUCCAAAAUGGGUGGUAAAUUUCAUCUAAAGCUAAAUACUGGCGAGAGACCGAUAGCGAACAAGUACCGUGAGGGAAAGAUGAAAAGAACUUUGAAAAGAGAGUUAAACAGUACGUGAAAUUGUCAAAAGGGAAGCGUUUGACACCAGUGUUGUUUUCUCGAAAAUCAAUUAAAAAUGGUGGGAUUUUGUGUUGUAUUGACUUUAUCAGCUUUCUGCACUUUUUUCCUGUCUUUUUUAAUGCACUUCUCGUUUAACAAGUCAACAUCAAUUUCUUUUGCUGUAAAAGAGUCAUUGGAAGGUGGCUUUCUUUUCGGAGAAAGUGUUUAUAGCCUUUGACUUCUGCAAUCGGAGAGAUUGAGGUCUGCAGCGUAGAUCCUUCGGGGUUAGAUAGCAUUUGUGCUAAGCUAUAGCCUUUCAUAGACAACUUGUUGACUAUGAUCAGUCAUGUAGCUUACUCGCUUAUGCUAUUUUACCUACGCUUAGGAUGUUGAUAGUCACAGCGUGUAC